GACGUUGGUGAUGUCCACUACACUCAGCUGCUCAUGGUGAGCCUUCUCCACCGAGAUGACGGGGGUGUAGGUGGCCAGAGGGAAGUGGAUCUGGGGAUACGGCACCAGCACCUGCUCCUCCAAAGGUCUCUGAGAACUCCCCCUCCCCCACGUACCAGUGGACGACGGCCCGCUUGGUGAACAUCAGGUGGAACUUGUGGUCCAGGCGGGCCCAGGCCUGGAUGGUGGUGGUGUUUCUCAGCAUGCACAAAGCCCGGUGCAGCUCGGCCAGGUCUCCCCCGGAACCACGGUGGUGCUGCUGGUUGAUGCUUUGACGUCUUUGGACACCUCAUCACCACCGUGCAGCAGGGCAUGUACCUGAGGGUCGCACUUCACCGUCUGGUUGGCCGGCUGGAAGCAGACGUUGGUGAUGUCCACUACACUCAGCUGCUCAUGCACCUGCUCCUCCAAAGGUCUCUGAGAACUCCCCCUCCCCCACGUACCAGUGGACGACGGCCCGCUUGGUGAACAUCAGGUGGAACUUGUGGUCCAGGCGGGCCCAGGCCUGGAUGGUGGUGGUGUUUCUCAGCAUGCACAAAGCCCGGUGCAGCUCGGCCAGGUCUCCCCGGAACCACGGUGGUGCUGCUGGUUGAUUCCCACCAUGAAGCCGGUGGGCACCAGUCCACCAACUGGAUGCUGAGCUUGGUGUUGACGGUUGCUAGGGCGGCUUUGACGUCUUUGGACACCUCAUCACCACCGUGCAGCAGGGCAUGUACCUGAGGGUCGCACUUCCCCGUCUGGUUGGCCGGCUGGAAGCAGACGUUGGUGAUGUCCACUACACUCAGCUG